UACAGAGGGGGCAAGCGUUGUUCGGAAUUACUGGGCGUAAAGGGCGCGUAGGCGGCCUUCUAAGUCGAACGUGAAAUCCCCGGGCUCAACCCGGGAACUGCGUCCGAUACUGGAAGGCUUGAAUCCGGGAGAGGGAUGCGGAAUUCCAGGUGUAGCGGUGAAAUACGUAGAUAUCUGGAGGAACACCGGUGGCGAAGGCGGCAGUCCUGGACCGGUAUUGACGCUGACGGCGCGAAAGCCAGGGGAGCAAAGCGGG
rnacentral:rRNA from 1 species